UCUCCGUUGGUGAACCAGCGGAGGGAUCAUUACAGAGUCGCAAUACUCCGUAAACCAUUGUGAACGUUACCUAACCGUUGCUUCGGCGGGCGGCGCCCGGGCCCUCGCGGCCCGCGGCGCCCCCCGGCCCCUGCGGGCGCCCGCCGGAGGUAGACCAAACUCUUGAAUUACAUGGCCUCUCUGAGUCUUCUGUACUGAAUAAGUCAAAACUUUCAACAACGGAUCUCUUGGUUCUG
rnacentral:misc_RNA from 1 species